rnacentral:rRNA from 1 species
GCCACCCGAUUUUGGGGGGUGGCUAGUGCCCGCCAGAGGACUAUCAAACUCCAGUCAGUAAACGUUGCAGUCUGAAAAAAAUAUUAAAUAAACUAAAACUUUCAACAACGGAUCUCUUGGUUCUGGCAUCGAUGAAGAACGCAGCGAAAUGCGAUAAGUAAUGUGAAUUGCAGAAUUCAGUGAAUCAUCGAAUCUUUGAACGCACAUUGCGCCCCUUGGUAUUCCGGGGGGCAUGCCUGUUAGAGCGUCAUUUCAACCCUCAAGCUCUGCUUGGUAUUGGGCACCGUCCUUUGCGGGCGCGCCUCAAAGACCUCGGCGGUGGCGUCUUGCCUCAAGCGUAGUAGAAUACACCUCGCUUCGGACGUAAGGCGUCGCCCGCCGGACGAACCUUCUGAACUUUUCUCAAGGUUGACCUCGGAUCAGUAGGG